CAAAGGCUUGGUCCUGACUUUACUAUUAGCUUUAACCUAAUUUAUACAUGCAAGUAUCCGCAUCCCUGUGAGAAUGCCCUCAAUCCUCCGCCCGAAGACGAGGAGCAGGCAUCAGGCGCGCCCGCGCAGCCCAAGACGCCUUGCUACGCCACACCCCCAAGGGAUUUCAGCAGUAAUAAACAUUAAGCCAUAAGUGAAAACUUGACUUAGUUAGGGACACUGAGGGUCGGUAAAAUUCGUGCCAGCCACCGCGGUUAUACGAAAGACCCUAGUUAAUAGACACGGCGUAAAGGGUGGUUAAGGAAUAUAAUAAAUAAAGCUAAAGGCCCUCUAAGCCGUUAUACGCACUCCGAGGAUACGAAGCCCAAACACGAAAGUAGCUUUAAACCCCUCCUGACCCCACAAAAGCUAAGAAACAAACUGGGAUUAGAUACCCCACUAUGCUUAGCCAUAAACCCAGAUGUACUUCUACAAAUACAUUCGCCAGGGCACUACGAGCACAGCUUAAAACCCAAAGGACUUGGCGGUGUCUCAGACCCACCUAGAGGAGCCUGUUCUAGAACCGAUAACCCCCGUUAAACCUCACCACUUCUUGUUUUCCCCGCCUAUAUACCGCCGUCGUCAGCUUACCCUGUGAAGGCCUAACAGUAAGCAAAAUGGACAUAACCAAAAACGUCAGGUCGAGGUGUAGCGUACGAAGUGGGAAGAAAUGGGCUACAUUUUCUAAACAACAGAAUAUUUUACGAACGGCACUUUGAAAAUAAGUGCCCGAAGGUGGAUUUAGUAGUAAAAAGCAAAUAGAGAGUCCUUUUGAAUUAGGCUCUGAGACGCGCACACACCGCCCGUCACUCUCCCUUCUAAUAAUAACCUAUACAUAUAUAUAAUAACUCAACUAUAAAUACGGGGAGGCAAGUCGUAACAUGGUAAGUGUACCGGAAGGUGCACUUGGAAUAA
rnacentral:ncRNA from 1 species